UUUUUUUUCUUUCGGUAACCAAACUCACUAAUAAUAAUUGAGUGAAAAAAACAACCCAAUUAUUCAUGGCCUAUUCUCUCUUCGAUUUUGUGUUUCGCCGAUUCUCUCUCUUUUCCACCUUCAUUUGAAUCAUGUCCAUUAAUCGAAGCUAUGGCUAGGUUUCCACUUCUACAGUGUCCAAUGGAGGAGGUGAUGGCGUGAUUUCAUUAAUCUUCACCUUUGAUCUCUGCUUCCUUGGCUUUCUUCGUUUGCCUGUUGGGUUUGAACCUGAAGUUCCCAAAAGGGCUACCAGUGGCAGGUGAAUGGGUCACUAUAUUUUGUUUGUUUUGAAAAAUUUCUCUGGGUUGCUGAUAACUUGGGUUCCGUUUAAUGGAUUCUUGAAGUUUUGUCUUGGGUCUCAGAUUUGUGGCCUUGUAACUUAACUGGUCAACACCUCUUCGUGUGCUCAUGACAUUCAAAUUCAAAUCCACCCUCCUCCUUUUAGUUUGAUCUUCUCUCAAUGGGUAUGGCAAUUUGAAGAGGGUGAAGAUAUAAAGGCUACUACGACUUUUCUUUCUAAGUGACAAUUGCAUAAUGGCUAUUGAGGCAAAAUCUUGGAGGAAAGCAGCGGAUUAUCAGAGCAUUGUCUUCUUGCAGUGACGUUCCCGUGGUGACAUUCACCUUCAUUUGGUGGCUUUGUGUUCCAUUGAUAACAACGUUCAUACAAUGAUGUUGCCUUCAUAUGAUGCCAUCUUCUUUGUGUAGCGAUGUUCUCACUAUGAUAUUUGCCUUCAUCUGGUCGCUAUGCAUUCCAUUAAUAGAAACAUUCU